GAACGCACAUUGCGCCCAUUAGUAUUCUGGCGGGCAUGCCUGUUCGAGCGUCAUUUCAACCAUCAAGCCCUGCUUGUGUUGGGGUCCUGCGGCUGCCCGCAGGCCCUGAAAACCAGUGGCGGGCUCGCUAGUCACACCGAGCGCAGUAGCACAUCUCGCUUUGGUCGUGCGGCGGGUUCUUGCCGUAAAACACCCCCCUUUUAUCAAGGUUGACCUCGGAUCAGGUAGGAAUACCCGCUGAACUUAAG
rnacentral:misc_RNA from 1 species